GCCCGCCUCAGGUGCACGUAGAUGUGAUGGUGACAACCAGCUCGACGUCUGACAAGAAGACUCCCAGCGGAACGCUGCAAAGAGAAGAGGAGGACGAAGACAGUGAGACGGAAUAAAUCUAUAUAAACAGGGGCAACCUACUGGACAACACUGAUUCAUCCUCUCAUUCCCACUGAAAUAAAGCUUAUUAUGCUCCAGCAGGCUGCCAGGGGCCGAGCCAUAAACAGCCCUGCUCUGGGCUAUUUCAUCUUACAUAAGUCCCCCGAGUCCUGGAGGACAUCCACAGAGGAAUGCGCUGCCUACAGGCCUGCAGUCCCCUCCGUUCUGGCAGGGGUUCGGCAUGCAGGAUGUCAGUUCAACUUCACAGCGCCCCCCGGUGAAGCCAGAGCUGCAACUGCACAUGAAGCCUGCGCGAAAGAGUGUGUGAAAUAUUUCUGUUAUUUAUUCAAACGCCAAGGUGAGUACCGGCCGCACACAUUUGCACUAUUAUCUACACCGACCUCCCAAGGGCAGGCUGCUGCAGAUGGCUCCGUUGAGGCAGGGCUGACUGACACAUGGGUCUGGAUAGAGCACGCAGCCCAACUUGACCUCGUUGAGCCCGGCGAUCUCGGCCGAGCGGCUCCUUUUAUUUUGCAGCGGCAACUCGUCGCCGUUCAGCAUCAGCGAGCCCAGGCACCCCUGGAAGCCGUCCUGAGCCCUCGGCGGGCCCCUAGCUCGGUCCCCGAAUCUCUGCACCGCCUGGUUUCUCCCCGGCCCCGGGCUGGGCCUCGUACCGUGGCUGCUCGGAGGCCUCACCUGGGCCCCGAAGAAAAAGGAGGAAUCCGGGGCCAGAGGCCAGAGGCGGACGGGUGCGCGAGCCGCCCGCCGACGUUCCACAUAGCUGUCAUCCAGCGACAGGAGCGUAUAGUUCCUUGUCAGCUCCAAGGCAACAGCGUGCCAGAGGCCGUCAUUUAUUGGCCUGCCAGAGAUACCCAUAAUGCCUAGGGUGUUGUCACAGUCCAACUGGAACCAGAGUCUACCCCCUUCAAUCUUUACAAAGAAAAAAAUAUAUUAUUAGAUCUAAAACAACAACCUGCAGUAGUGCAUUGUAGCAUUAAGACAUGGCAGGUUUACUUUGAGCAUGGUGCAGGGGUUAACGCGCGUAAACAUGAUGACUCCUCUUCUCUGGAGAGUUCUGAUCCUCAGGCCGAGCCUCAUCUCUCCGCUCUGCCCGCUCUCCGUCACCCUGUAUUUGAUGUAGCUGUUCCCGGAGAAGCUCAGAGAGCAUCAGGAUCCGGCUGUACCUGCGCACUCGUCUAGUUUCUCACGCUGACACUGGCAGACAGAGGGCGCUGUAGGACCGGAGCGGACACACUGCAUGUCUGCUGGGCAGGACUGUCCUUCACAGAGCUCCACAGGGGUGGGGCAUGCGCCUCCUGUGCAGAGAGGAGCGUCUUGAUGAAUAUCUAAACAUAUGUUAGAAGGAGAACAUGGGUUUGGCGCUCACCGCAGGUGCAGGUCUCACUAUAGCUGAACUUUGGCGACACCAAGCUGACCCUCUCCGUGCUGUAGGUCACCGGUGAGUCUCCCUCCGUCACAAGUGUCUUUUCACACACCCUGUCCCCGCAGUCCAGCUCCCCGGAGCACACGCUGCUCACCACCACCGCCCCGACCAGGAGCCCUCGAACCUGGCCCCGUGCGGCCGCCUCCUCCAGCCUCGCCGACAGCUCCUGCUGGGAGUAGAAGCCGCCCAUCCGCCCGCCGCCCGCCGCCUCUGGCCGUUCCAUGGCCAGGAGCAAGUCCACGCUAUGCGUCCCCCUCACCGGCUGUAUGCAGAGGAUGUGGAGCGGAUCCUGCUGCCCUGGUGACCAUUUCCAGCCAGCGAGUCCACGUAGCGUGAGCUUAAUCUGGUUCAGGUAGCGGCCGAGCAGGUCCUCUGGUGACAGGGAGCUGAAACGCAAGGUCAGCGCACUGCGCAGCAGCAAAUCUGUCACCUGCUCGACUUGGACGGACACGUCGGCAAUCACGGCGAAGCGCCCGUCGCUCACCGUGGCGUUCAUCUGAUACCUGGAGGAGGACGAGAAUACGAGUUUGCGAGUGAACAUGCUUUUGGCCUGAGGCCUCUGGGUGAAAGACAGGACGUCACUGGGAUCGCGGUCCGUCGCGUAGAUCCGACCCACCAGGCCGCCUUGGAAGGUAUCCGUUAGCAUGACAAUGAAGAUCUCCAAAGGGGACACGGCCGGCUUGUACUGGCUGUUCCCAAUGACCCUCAGGAAGACCCAGGAGGAAGAGAUAUUUCUCCAGAAUCACCAUCCCAGACACCGGAUCGAUGGAGAAGAAUCCAUUGGCUGAAUUCGCCAGAGAAUACACAACAGUGCGGUUAAGCCCUGGAUGUGACGGGAGGAGAGAGAAUAUUAGCAAUGCUGAUGAAAUAUGGUUCAUUUAACGUGCUGGAUGUCUAACAUACAGAUGGGGCUGUUGUCGUUGGCGUCCAUGACGGUGACCUCCACCGCGGUGCGAGCGACGUACAGGCCGUCGCUGGCCGUGAUGUUGAGCAGAUACCAGUCCUGCUGCUCGCGGUCCAGCAGGCCGCUCACGUAGACCUUCCACUCCCCCUGCACGAGAGCCAGGCCAAACACGCCCCGCGGGUUUCCCCCUGGAAAUCACAGGAAGCCAGAUUGCUGGCAUGUUGGUGACGGACAAACAGAAAGUUGUGCGGAAUCACGCGAUGAAUGAACAUGAGCCCUCUCUCCAUCUAGACCCUCAAAGAAUUAAAGUAGCCUUUCUGUGCAAUCAGUAAACAGCACCAUGUAUCAAACCGACCAAAAAAAAACCCUUCGUUACUGUGCUUCCAUUAGGCCAAUAAGUAUUUUAAAUGCCAGAACACAAGGCAGACAUAUGUCAUCCGUAGCCAUUACCAGGCUGUGUUAUGUGAGUUGGCUUUGGCUGAAGAGACAUCACCAUGAAUCUCAUAGAAGAAGAAAAUGUUCUAGUUGGAGUUUCUCUUGCGUUUCCCUGCGAGGUAGUGCAGUGACAUAAAUAAAGAGGGAAGGGUUUGGGCUGCACAAGGUUAGAUGCUGAAAACUAAUUUUCUAAAGCAAUGCACAUCAGGAAUUUUAUGUAAGGAGGUAAAGAUAUUAGAGCAGAGAAUGCUCCAUCGUAGGAGGUGACACUACACCGUCAGCGGGAAUGUUACUGAACUCUGCGUUCGUUAGGUCACAGGCAGAAGACUGAAGAAGAAAACCAUUAGAUAGAUGCAGUAUAAUGGUUCUGAGAUGCAAUGUUCUCACCGGUGAUGUAAAAGCUGACCAGGCGGUUCUGAUCCGUUCCAUCCUGGUCUUUGGUUUUCAGAACGGCCACCACCUCGCCGAGCGGGUCGCUCUCCUUUACCGCGCCCCGAUAGAGCUCCCUCUCGAACCGCGGCGGGUUGUCGUUGACGUCCGACACAGUGAUGGUCACCACCGCGGUGGAGGACAGAGCCUGCAGCUCCCCCAGAUCUGAGGCCACCACCUCAAAGCUGUAGCUGGAGCAGGCCUCGUGGUCCAUCGGACUCAGUGUGGUGACCCAGCCUGUUUUGCUGUCGAUGGCGAAGACUGAGGCGGUGGUGACGGGGCCACUGAAGGAGCGAGCGUCCUUUGUUAAGUCCAGGUUGUAGGUGAGCAUGGGCCCGAGGCUGUAGGCGACCUGCAACGAGACGGAGCCGUCGAAGCAUCUGCCACUCUCUAAGCUGAACUCCCACCGGGACUCGGCGGUCACACACCUGCCCGUUGGCUCCCCAGUCUGGAUCAAGGGCUCGCACCUGGACCACUCUGGUCCCCACCGGCAUCCCCUCCAUCACUGUUGCCACGUAGGUGUUGGUCUCGAACACCGGCCUGUUGUCGUUCACGUCCAGGAUCUGCAAAAUCACAAGUCUUCACAUGUUCAGCUUGAAGGUUUGGUGUAAAGCGUUGUUAACGGCAUCACCGACCUUAACCUCCAGGUCCACGGUGGACAUCGACUCAAUCAGGUCUCGCCGAGUUGUCGCUGCAACCUUGAAGCGGAAGGUGCUGACCUGCUCGUAGUCCAGCGGUUUCACCAGACGGAUCAGACCCGUCUCUCUGUCCACCAGGAAGGUCCCUCCCUGGUUGCUGUCGACCGUCUCGCCUCCGAUUGCAGUGAAGAAGCCCAUCUGUCCAGAGCCCAUGUACACGGAGCCCAGGGCGGUGCCCACUGCCGUGUCCUCGGGGAUGGUGAAGGAGUACUGAGGCUGGCUGAAGGAGGGGACGAACGCCUCUGGAGGGACCACAUGGAUGAAAGCUGACACCAGAGAGUGUUUGGCUGGAGAGCCGCAGUCCGAGGCUUUGACAAAGAAGGACAGCAUGGUCCCUUGGAGGUGGUCCACCGUGCUUUUAGUCAUCAUCCAACCACUGUCUGGCUCCACCUUGUCAGCAGCAAACAAUCACUGUGUCAUUCUAUCCUAUUGGCAGUAGAGGCCAAGUGAUAAAGCACUUAGCUUUGACUCACAUCAGGCCUAAUAUACUGUAUUUGAAGAUAAAAACAUGCACUGACCUCCAGCACAUCGACCAGCGACAGACGCGCCUCGCUGUAAAGGGAGUAGAUGAUCCUUCCAUUGGACCCAGCAUCAGGGUCGGUGGCCUGGAUCUGCGUGACCAGAGAACCUUUGGCAACGUUUGCUUUGAUGCUCAUGCGAUACUCCACGGCUCUGAACCGAGGGGCGUUGUCGUUCUCAUCCUCCAGAACCACUCGCACCGUGCAAAAUGACGCCCGGCCUGCAAAUGGUUCUCUCUGUCUAAUUUCUGAAGAGUGGAUAUGACUCCGUCUGCAUCGAUGGCAAAGUGGCUUUUCCCCAGGUCAUUGACGAAGGAAUAGGUGAUCUGUCCAAAUAACCCGGAGUCCUCAUCUGUAGCUCGAACCUGGAGGUUCUGAUUGAUGACAGUCACCACCCCAGUGUAGCGGUCCACAGAGAAGAGCUCCACGCUGCUGUCCAGCAGGGAGUAAACUAGCUGCGAGGCGAUGGAUUUGUCGGGGUCCAGGGCGAGGUCGGCCGACAUGUCCGGG